UCUAGAAGAGAAAGAGUUUCAACAUGUGUGUUUCAUGUCAUUUUUAAAAAGCUCGAGGGUAUAUUAGUAAUUUCGCCUCAACUCUUACAAUAUGCAUAUAGUACGUGUCUAGGUUUGUCUAUACAAACUCUACGCGUAAGUUAUAGAUGGCUCCACUUGUAUUUUUAGCAGACAACAUAAUUAAGUUAUCCUUUAAUUUUGAGAGUGAUUCUCACAGCUUCUUCCUGAUUCUCUUCGCUCACAAAUCUAGCUGCAGGAAUACAUCUUCUAAGGAGGAAGAAGAGCUUGGAGGCAGAAGAUGAUGAUAGAUGAAAUUCAGUGGCCCUGCUAAAAGAUAAGUUUUUAAUGCUUUUUUGGAUGAUAAAUAAAAGAUGACAUGAUAAUGUCUAAUUUUCAGGAAAAUACUUCGCAUGAAAGAAUUAGACUAAGUGAGAUGCGUCGUAACAUAAAAGGAAGCAACAUAUUGGUGGAAGUGCUUGAUGCCAAGGUCUCAGGAUUCAGGCUUAUAAAGGCCUCUUGAGAACAAUAUCCAUUCAAAGUUAGAUGAAAGGCAAUUUGAAUGUUUUUAUGCCUUGAUGUUACAUGUGUUAUCCAGCAGUUGGCAUAUGGUAACUUUUACAAUAUUGGGCCCGUGUUGACACAGACCAUACAUUAAAGUUAACGGGAGUAGUAUAUGCACAAGAAUCUUUAAUAAUGAUUUUAAGAUUUAUUUAAGA